rnacentral:rRNA from 1 species
UACGUAAGGGGCGAGCGUUGCUCGGAAUUACUGGGCGUAAAGGGCUUGUAGGCGGCCUUGUAAGUCGAAUGUGAAAAACCGGGGCUUAACCCCGGCGCCGCGUUCGAAACUGCGAGGCUCGAGUCUGGUGGAGGGUAAUGGAACACCCGGUGUAGCGGUGAAAUGCGUAGAUAUCGGGUAGAACACCGAAGGCUAAAGCAGUUAUCCAUGCCAAGACUGACGCUGAGGAGCGAAAGUAUGGGGAUCAAACAGG